GAUGAAGAACGUAGCGAAAUGCGAUAAGUAAUGUGAAUUGCAGAAUUCAGUGAAUCAUCGAAUCUUUGAACGCACAUUGCGCCCCUUGGUAUUCCGAGGGGCAUGCCUGUUCGAGCGUCAUUAUAACCCUCAAGCUCAGCUUGGUGUUGGGGCCUGCUGCACUGGCAGCCCUUAAAAUCAGUGGCGGCGCCAUCUGGCUCUAAGCGUAGUAAUUCUUCUCGCUAUGGAGUCCUGGUGGAUGCUUGCCAUCAACCCCCAAUUUUUCUAUGGUUGACCUCGGAUCAGGUAGGGAUACCCGCUGAACUUAAGCAUAUCAGUAAGCGGAGGA
rnacentral:misc_RNA from 1 species